UGCUGCAUUCAAAAGUGACUGCGGGCUGCCCGGGCCGUCACUCAUGCUGCAGGGAGAGGACGCCAAAAGCCUUUCCCCAGGUUUGGAAGGUCCAGCCUGCACUGGCCAGCUCCUGGUGCUUUAGUCUA
rnacentral:snoRNA from 1 species